AAAUAAAUACCACAGCUUGUAACGCCGACGUUUCGGAGCUAACGCGACACUUGAAGCCCAGAGGUGGUUUUAAGUGACAAAGUGUAACUGAGAAAGAGAGAGGUGCAGUUUCAUAAGCUGGCGUGCAGCAGCAGUGAAGUUUCGUUCCCCGGGGAAUGCCGCACAGCGGAAAACAACCGUAAACAACCCGUUACUAUGCGCUCGACUGCAGUUUGUCCUAAGACAGUAAUAAAAGCAGUCCGGUAAAAAAAGAAAGACCGGAGA